rnacentral:rRNA from 1 species
AUUGAACGCUGGCGGCAGGCCUAACACAUGCAAGUCGAGCGGAUGAAGGGAGCUUGCUCCUGGAUUCAGCGUCGGACGGGUGAGUAAUGCCUAUGAAUCUGCCUGGUAGUGGUGGAUAACGUCCGGAAACGGGCGCUAAUACUGCAUACGUCCUGAGGGAGAAACUUGGGGAUCUUCGGACCUCACGCUAUCAGAUGAGCCUAGGUCGGAUUAGCUAGUUGGUGGGGUAAAGGCCUACCAAGGCGACGAUCCGUAACUGGUCUGAGAGGAUGAUCAGUCACACUGGAACUGAGACACGGUCCAGACUCCUACGAGAGGCAGCAGUGGGGAAUAUUGGACAGUGGGCGAAAGCCUGAUCCAGCCAUGCCGCGUGUGUGAAGAAGGUCUUCGGAUUGUAAAGCACUUUAAGUUGGGAGGAAGGGCAGUAAGUUAAUACCUUGCUGUUUUGACGUUACCAACAGAAUAAGCACCGGCUAACUUCGUG